rnacentral:rRNA from 1 species
UCUUCCGCAAUGGACGAAAGUCUGACGGAGCAACGCCGCGUGAGUGAUGAAGGCUCUCGGGUCGUAAAACUCUGUUGAUAGGGAAGAACAAGCGCCCGUUGAAUAAGCCGGCACCUUGCCGGUACCUAACCAGAAAGCCACGGCUAACUACGUGCCAGCAGCCGCGGUAAUACGUAGGAGGCAAGCGUUAUCCGGAAUUAUUGGGCGUAAAGCGCGCGCAGGUGGUUUCUUAAGUCUGAUGUGAAAGCCCACGGCUCAACCGUGGAGGGUCAUUGGAAACUGGGAGACUUGAGUGCAGAAGAGGAAAGUGGAAUUCCAUGUGUAGCGGUGAAAUGCGUAGAGAUAUGGAGGAACACCAGUGGCGAAGGCGACUUUCUGGUCUGUAACUGACACUGAGGCGCGAAAGCGUGGGGAGCAAACAGG